rnacentral:lncRNA from 1 species
UUCAUAAUUCUCAGCAUCCUCUCGUCGAACAAGGCUGCAGGCAUCGAUGACGAGCGUCAGGUACUUCCACUGGCAUCCUUUUGCAUAUAUUUACGACUUGUUCUUUUUUUGCAGAUCUAUAUCGUCUAUCUCGGUGGAAAAGGCAGUCGCCAGAGUUUGGAGCUGGUCCAAAGACACAGCAAGAUUCUCGCAUCUGUCACAAGCAGGCAAGAAGUGAUCGUGCUCCAAAGUAUAGCCCGGACUGACUUUAAAAACUUACAUGACAGAGAAGUAGAGUCCCCUGAGAUCGUGUACAGCUACAAGCAUGGAUUUGAUGGAUUUGCUGCUAGGAUGACCGCUAAGCAGGCAAAAGCCGUAGCAGGCAAGCCAUCGCAAAA